GAUGAACGCUGGCGGCGUGCCUAAUACAUGCAAGUCGAGCGAACGGACGAGAAGCUUGCUUUUCUGAUGUUAGCGGCGGACGGGUGAGUAACACGUGGAUAACCUACCUAUAAGACUGGGAUAACUUCGGGAAACCGGAGCUAAUACCGGAUAAUAUUUUGAACCGCAUGGUUCAAAAGUGAAAGACGGUCUUGCUGUCACUUAUAGAUGGAUCCGCGCUGCAUUAGCUAGUUGGUAAGGUAACGGCUUACCAAGGCAACGAUGCAUAGCCGACCUGAGAGGGUGAUCGGCCACACUGGAACUGAGACACGGUCCAGACUCCUACGGGAGGCAGCAGUAGGGAAUCUUCCGCAAUGGGCGAAAGCCUGACGGAGCAACGCCGCGUGAGUGAUGAAGGUCUUCGGAUCGUAAAACUCUGUUAUUAGGGAAGAACAUAUGUGUAAGGAACUGUGCACAUCUUGACGGUACCUAAUCAGAAAGCCACGGCUAACUACGUG
rnacentral:rRNA from 1 species